UGCGUAGACGGGAAGUCAAGUUAGUUGUGAAAUCCCUCGGCUUAACUGAGGAACUGCAACUAAAACUGAUUUUCUUGAGUACUGGAGAGGAAAGUGGAAUUCCUAGUGUAGCGGUGAAAUGCGUAGAUAUUAGGAGGAACACCGGUGGCGAAGGCGACUUUCUGGACAGAAACUGACGUUGAGGCACGAAAGUGUGGGGAGCAAACA
rnacentral:rRNA from 1 species